rnacentral:rRNA from 1 species
CCUACGGGAGGCAGCAGUAGGGAAUAUUGCUCAAUGGGGGAAACCCUGAAGCAGCAACGCCGCGUGAAGGAUGAAGGUUUUCGGAGUGUAAACUCCUUUUGUUAGAGAAGAUAAUUACGGUAUCUAACGAAUCAUCAUCGUCUAACUCCGUGCCAGCAGCCGCGGUAAUACGGAGGGUGCAAGCGUUACUCGGAAUCACUGGGCGUAAAGAGCGCGUAGGCGGGAUAGCAAGUCAGAUGUGAAAUCCUAUGGCUUAACCAUAGAACUGCAUUUGAAACUGUUAGUCUAGAGUAUGGGAGAGGUAGGUGGAAUUCUGGGUGUAGGGGUAAAAUCCGUAGAGAUCAAGAGGAACACUGAUUGCGAAGGCGACCUGCUAGAACAUAACUGACGCUGAUGCGCGAAAGCGUGGGGAGCAAACAGGAUUAGAUACCCCUGUAGUC